UAAACCCAUCUAUAUGGUGAAUGGAACUGUAUAACAACAAUUGCUAUGGAGCAGUGGUCAUAAAGUUAUGUAUAUUCCAUAGCAACUGUUGUUAUACAAUUCCAUUCACCAUAUAGAUGGGUUUA
rnacentral:miRNA from 1 species